CNNNNNNNNNNGCAACUUGGAGGAAUGUAUAGGGAAAACCGGUAAAAAGGUAAUGUACCUAUAGUAUUGGUAACUGAUAUGAUAUUAACAAAGUUAAUUAAAAUUCUAAGUAAAUAUUGAUUAUGACAGUAUUUACUGAUGUCUUGACCAAAUCACGUGCCAGCAGUCGCGGUAAUACGUGGAAGAUAAGUGUUAUUCAUCUUUACUAGGUUUAAAGGGUACCUAGACGGUUAAUAAAACAAUGUAUUUAUUAACUAGAGUUUGAUGUAAGAAAGAUUGAGUACGGUGAGUGUAGAGAUAAAAUUCUGUGAUACCACUUUGGAACUGGUAAAGGCGAAGGCAACUUUCUAUGUAAAAACUGACGUUGAAGGACGAAGG
rnacentral:rRNA from 1 species